CGAAUAUAAGCCCCCGGAAUAUAAGCCCACCACAUAUACUAACGCUCAAUUCAUUCCAAAUAUAAGCCCCCCCCCGAACAUAAGCACACCCAAAUAUAAGUCCCCCGAAUAUAAGCCCAGUAGCCCACUACGUUAUUCAACAUUUUCAUUGUCUUUUAAUAUAGCAGAGAACGAUAUUUAAAAACAUUGUCAUUGUCUUUAUAGCCGACUAUAUGUUACGUUAAUCAAAGCACAUUAUUAAUGGAUGUAUAUUUUCCUGUUUAU